rnacentral:lncRNA from 1 species
UUUUACUGUAUAUACAUGUUUAUACUUCCAUGAAAUUUCAGUGUGUAUCUGUAACCUUUAGCAUAAAUGCAGUUCCAACUACAACGAAGAUUUUGUGCUACAGCUAGAGAAGGAAUUGGUCCAAGCCCGACUGAGUGAAGCUGAGUCUCAGUGUGCACUAAAAGAGAUGCAGGAUAAAGUCUUGGAUAUAGAGAAGAGGAAUAACUCCCUUCCUGAUGAGAAUAAUAUCGCAAGGCUUCAGGAAGAACUCAUUGCUGUGAAACUGAGGGAAGCAGAAGCCAUUAUGGGUUUGAAAGAACUUAGACAGCAAGUCAAGGAUUUAGAGGAACACUGGCAGCGCCACUUAGCUCGUACUACUGGGAAAUGGAAAGACCCACCGAAGAAAAAUGCUAUGAAUGAGUUACAAGAUGAACUGAUGACCAUUCGACUUAGAGAAGCUGAAACACAGGCAGAAAUAAGAGAAAUAAAACAAAAGAUGAUGGAAAUGGAAACACAGAACCAGAUCAAUAGUAACCAUCUUCGAAGAGCAGAACAAGAGGUGGUUAACCUACAGGAGAAAGUGCAGUAUCUUUCUGCACAGAACAAAGGACUCCUUACUCAGUUAAGUGAAGCAAAGCGCAAACAAGCAGAGAUUGAAUUCAAGAAUAAGGAAGAAGUGAUGGCUGUGAGGCUCCGGGAAGCAGAUAGCAUAGCUGCUGUGGCUGAACUACGACAACACAUUGCUGAGCUUGAAAUCCAGAAAGAAGAAGGAAAGCUUCAAGGACAGCUUAACAAGUCUGACUCUAACCAGUAUAUUAGGGAACUGAAAGAUCAGAUAGCAGAGCUGAAUCAUGAGCUCAGGUGCCUAAAAGGCCAGAGGGGCUUCUCAGGCCAACCUCCUUUUGAUGGAAUCCACAUUGUCAACCAUUUAAUAGGAGAUGAUGAAUCAUUCCAUUCCUCCGAUGAAGAUUUUAUAGAUAAUUCCUUACAGGAAACUGGUGUUGGUUUUCCUUUGCACGGAAAAUCUGGCUCGAUGUCUUUGGACCCCGCAGUGGCAGAUGGUAGUGAGAGCGAAACAGAAGACAGUGUGCUGGAGACCAGAGAGAGCAAUCAAGUGGUUCAAAAGGAGCGGCCCCCGAGAAGAAUAGAGUCGUAUUCAACCACUGUCUGACCAUCACUGUGACCUAGACUAUGGAUUUAUUUAAGGGAUCAGCUAUCAUAUGAUUAGGGAUUUUUGGAAAUAAUUUGUUUCAUAUGUACAUAUAUAUAUAUACAUAUAUAUAUAUAUAUUUUACAGUCUUAUCUGCCUUUUUAUCUUUGCCAAAUCUUUACCACUGACUUACCAUUGCCAUAAAGUAGACUGGUAUAUGGUUAAUGUGUAAAACAAAGUUCUAACAGUAUUACUGAAUAUUAAUGUUUCUUGUUUAGAAAAUGCAACUAUAUCUAUAUGGGGGAACCAUUUUGAAGUUCAAAACUAUGGAAAAUUGAGUUUUCUUCAGACAAAACUGCUCUUGUGCAAUAUUUUAUGCUCAGUGAGCAAAUUGUAUAUUUAUGUUUAUCAAUUUGUUCUCAAGGUGGCUGUCUACAGACCUUUGACCAAGACAUAUGUCUGAUUUACCUUGUGUUUUGUUUUUUUUAUUGUUGUUUUUUUUUUUUUUUAAGACAGAGAUCCACUCUGUCACCCAGGCUGGAGUGCUGUGGUGUGAUCUCAGCUCACUGCAACCUCCGCCUCCCGGGUUCAAGCAAUUUCCCUGUCUCAGCCUCCCAAGUACCUGGGACUACGGGUGCGCAACACCACGCGUGGCUAAUAUUUUGUAUUUUUAGUACAGACUGGAUUUCACCAUGUUGGCUGGGCUGGUCUCGAACUCCCGACCUCAAGUGAUCCACCCGCCUCAGCCUCCACGAUUACAGGCGUGAGCCACUGCACCCAGCCUAGCUUGUAUGUUUGUAUCUGGGAGGUUUUUUUUUUUUCCAUGAAAAUUAUUGAUGGGCCACUGAAAGUUCCCACACACAAAGACUUUAUAUAAUUUCAUAAACACAAAUUCAUGCUUAUCUGUUUUGAGAGUUUUAAGUUUUGUUUUAAUGUUUAACUUUUAUGUGCAUAUGAUGCUUCCAUGUGUUGGUUACCAGAGUAGUAGGUUAACUACAGACAUACUGUUUAUUUGUACAUAUUUAUAAAUCUGUACCACCUAACAUUGAACAUCAUUUUAUAUGAAGAACAUACAUGUUGCAAAAUGACUGCUUUUGGCAUCUAACAGGACUUCUGUAAAUAAUAGGUUAAAUGAAAAGUUAAAAAUAAAACACUAAUAUUUUAAGAGCUUUAGUAUUUUGCUUAGCAUUCAACACUAGCAGUUUCAUAACUGAUGCCUGUUCGAAAACACUUGGUGGAAUCUUAUUUUAUGUGUAUGUAACUACUAAAUUUUUCAUGACUGAAGAGGUUAUAGCACAUAUUAGUUAGUGCUGAUAUUCUACUGAAUAUAAUUUAAGUAAUGGGCUAAGGUCCAAGAAACAUAGCAAUUAUAUCUACAAAUAACCUAUGAACGUGAUCUUCAGAAUCUCUAGUUUUUGUUCUAUAGAUAAAGCCAUAAGAAUUCUUUCCUACCAGUUUUUCCUUUAUCAUUUAGAUAUUAUUUCCUAGAAAACAGGAUGCCUGUCACUGAUAAAUUAGAGAAAACACCCAAAUUAUACUUGCACUAUGGAAAGAUGACAUGAAUAUGUUGACUGGGUACUUUCUACUCUCAUUUUUGUUAGUCUAUGAAAAAAAAAUUUUUUUUUGUUAACCUAUGGAAAAAAGCCUUGGAAGAGAAAAGUAGAAUUCAGUAUGUAUGGAGGCACAGUUUUGCACAGUAUGUUGCGUGCGGAGAAAAAAAUUAUGAAAUAGAGUAAAAGAGAUAUGUAGUUUUCUGUCAAAACCUAGGACUUAAGCCUUCAGGUGCAUUUUGAACUAGGCUUUCCAGCAAGGUUUCUAUAGGUAUUUGCUUGCCUGAGAAAUGAAAUUGAAAACAUGCCCCUGUGUCUGUCCUUAACACCAGGCUAAAUUCUGGUAGUUCAAUAACUUACCUGUGGUUACAAGCUAGUAAGUAGCAGAGCCAAGAUUUUUUUUAAUAUGGAGACAGUUGUCUUACCAUGUUGUCCAGGCUGGUCUUGAACUCCUGGCCUCAAGCAGUCCUCCUUCCUCAGCCUCCCAUAGUGUGGGGAUUACAGGUGCGAGCUACCGCACCCAGUGAGAGCCAAGAUUUUAAUCUAGAUCUCCUUAACACCAAAGCUUUUGAAAAGGUUCAGCUGAAGAAUUUCUCAAUUCCCUAUUUUGUUUUGUUUUUUGAGAUGAAGUCUCACUCUGUCACCCAGGCUGGAGUGCAGUGGUGCGAUCUUGGCUCACUGCAACCUCCGCCUCCCGGGUUCAAGCAAUUCUCCUGCCUCAGCUACCAAGUAGCUGGCACUACAGGUGCACGACACCACGACUGGCUAAUUUUUGUAUUUUUAGUAGAGAUGGGGUUUCACUAUGUUGGCCAGGCUGAUCUCAAACUUCUGACCUCAGGUGAUCCACCCACUUUGACCUCCCAAAGUGCUGGGAUUACUAGGCGUAAGCCACCACACCUGGCAAUUCCCUGCUUUUUUGACAAUGUAAUUUAAAUAAAUUUGAUUUAAAUGUUUCCUGAAUAUAUAUACAGAUAGAUAUAUGAGUAUCAACACUUACAAGCUCUACACAGUUUAUAAGUGUAGAUACUACUUACUCGUAGGAUUGUCUUGUGCUUUGGGGAUUUUUCGUUCGGAGUUCUAUACUAUCAGCUCAAAAGGCUAUCGAUGCCCAAGUGAAGUGAGAUGCUUCAUGGCCACAUUAUUGCUUUGACCCUCACAUCAAGAGAUCUGAAUGACCUAGACUAGGGGUCAGCAAACUGCAGCCUACAAGCUAUUCCAGUCAGCUGCCAGUUUUUACUUUUUUAAAUAGUUGGGGGAAAAGUUCCAAAGACUAAUAUUUUGUGUCACAUGAAAAUUAUAUGAAAUUUAAAUUGCAGUGUCCAUAAGUAAAGUUUUAUUGGGGCACACCCAUCCUCACCCUUUUAAAUAUUGUGUAUGGCUGCUUUGUGCUACAGUAGCAGAGUUGAGUCAUUGCGAGGGAGACUGUAUGGCCCAGGUAGCCUAAAAUAUUUAUCUGAUCCUUUACAGAAAAAGUUUGCUAACCCUUGAUAACAGAUACUCUAAAAUGCAGGUUUUUCUUCUUCAGUUUAACUCAGUGGUAGGUCAAAUUGUUUGCUCUUGCUAUUAAGCUUAUGAUUUGGAAACGUAAAAUUUCAUGGUGGAUCUUAUGCUCAGAACUAUUCAAAAGGGAAAACAUGCCAGCCAUUUUAUAUGAUGAAGUCUCUUAUUCCAUAGAAAAUUGUAGAAAGAUAUCUGUAUCUUUCGAGAAGGAGAAACAAAGGAAAGAAUUCCAGAAUCCCAUCACUGUUCUUUAAAGCAUGCAUCACAGACCUUUAAGGGUAUACUUUAUUGAGUAAAGGUUAUCAUUUGACUUUAAGAUAAGAAAUUUUCAGAAUCAUGUUUGAAUUCUAAACUUUGAUAUUCUUAAGUACCAUUUCUGAUUAGGAAUUAGGUGUUAAAGGAAUCAUGGUAAGGAAACCUUAAUUCGUUGAAACUCUUGUAAUUUGGACAACAGAAAACUAGAAAUAACACUCUUUUCUUUGAAGAUCUGAUUCAAAUACACCUCAGAAGAGUUUAAAAUCUUCCAGGCCUUUAGGAUGCAAUAGGAUAUCAUGCCCUGGUUUGACUCCUUUUCAUUCAAAUUAAUGUAAGUAUGUUGUUCCAGACUUUGAAGCAUUGAACAAUGUUCUCUUGAUAAAUUUUAUUUAAUCUCUGACACUUUGUGAUAUUUAAAUGUUGUUAAGUUAACACUUAGAGUUGAGUAAUAUUCAGGGGAGAAAAGUGAAUGAAAUGACUCAUAAUAAGAAAGCUUGCUCCCUUGGGAUAAUUACAUUCCUGGUGUCAUUGCCAUCCUGGGUUGACAAGUUGCGAGUAUAGGAUACAAGUGAUGUGAAUAAAAUGGAAAUUGCAUUGAGUUAAUGAAACAGACACUUUUAGAUCAAGAAAACACUUCAACAGCCUUUUUAAAAAUUGGCACACUCCUGUAGUCCCAGCUAUCCAAGAGGCUGAGGCAGGAGGAUCACUAGAGUACAGGAGUUUGAGGCUGUAGUGUGUAAUGAUCACACCUGUGAGUGAAUAACCACUGCACUCCAACCUGGGCAACAUGGCAAGACACUAUCUCUUUAAAAAAAAAAAAAAUUUUUUUUUCUUCCUGGGAAAAGAAGUCAAAGAUAUAACUUUACACAAUUUCUACACCCACUGCCUUUUUGUUUGUUUGUUUGUUUGUUUUUUGGCUAGAUACUAGGUAUUCAGUGUUUGCUAACUGAGAUGUCAGGUUUCAACUAAUCGGCCAGUUAUUUGGGAAGGAGAAAAACUUUUUCUCAGCUCUGAACAUGAUGCAGCUUGUUAACUCUCCAGAUAGUGCCUUUGAUUGAAAAUAAGGUCUACACCUUUUUAAGUAUAUUAUAUCUGACAUCAUAAGAAAUAAUUUAGUUCCUUAUUCUCAUUUAUCUUUUAUAUAAUGCACUGUAAUAUUCAAGUUUAAAGUAAAAUAAGUAUAUGAAUUAUAUUUUGGUAAAACUGUUUCAUGACCAGCUUGAUUAAUGUACAUUGUACAUUAACAUACCAGACAUUGACAGCGAACAUUUCAUGAAAUCAAUUAUUUACUUAUUAAAACAAUGAGUAUUAGCUUGAAAGUUAUUGCUGCUCUAUUAUUAACAAAACUAAGUUUUAAAAAUUAAUUUUAAUUCUACUGAAAUUCAAUUUCUGGUUAAAGAUAUAGUGGAUGCUAUUUAUGAUCCAAGUUUUUACAUCACAUCCAUUGAUCUGCCUAUCCUUUCUUUUCACUCCAAAGAGGAGAUGAUAGAAUAAUACAUUCAAUAUACUACCAAGAAGCAAAGUUAUAAUGUGUUUCAUUUUAUGGUUGGAAUUUUUUAUUGUAACAUUGUAUGAUAACCUGAAAUGUUUACUUGUGCCUUUGCUUUAAACAAUUAAAGUUUUCCAUUUUAU